UUUCUCUUGCCUUGGUCAUUUCUCCAAAUGUGAGCACUUCCAGGCUCUUUGCAAUGAGGGAAAUGGGUAUAUUUGCAGGGAUAAUUUACAGUUUAGGGAAGCUCUCUGAAGGGAUAGUUUUCAGGACUUAGCUCAUUCUUGGCUAAGUGCCUUAAAGAACUUGAAGGGUGUUGAAGAGCUAUUAUUCAUCUCCACCGAGCGCAGGGCCAACCUCCCUGCAUCUUGGGUCCCAGGCGAUCACUGAUAUGCUUUCUAUCAUUAUUUUGCCUAUUCUGGAAUUUGAUAUGAAUGGAGUCACACGACUUGAAAUCUACAGGCUCUGAUCCCUCAAAGGUUGGAGUGAGGGAAGAGAAGAGAUAGGGCUCAGGAAAGAUCUCACUUGGCUGGCAAUGAUGGAUUGCAAUUUUUCUCUGGAUG